UACGUAGGGGGCGAGCGUUGUCCGGAUUGACUGGGCGUAAAGCGCACGCAGGCGGAUGCGCGCGUGGGGUGUGAAAUCUGGCCGCUUAACGGCCAGGCGCCAUCCCAUACGGCGCGUCUGGAGUGAUGCAGAGGUCGAUGGAAUUGCCGGUGUAGUGGUGAAAUGCGUAGAGAUCGGCAGGAACACCCAGGGGGAAACCAGUCGACUGGGCAUCUACUGACGCUGAGGUGCGAGAGCGUGGGGAGCGAACCGG
rnacentral:rRNA from 1 species